rnacentral:rRNA from 1 species
GACGAACGCUGGCGGCGUGCUUAACACAUGCAAGUCGAACGGAAAGGCCCUGCUUUUGUGGGGUGCUCGAGUGGCGAACGGGUGAGUAACACGUGAGUAACCUGCCCUUGACUUUGGGAUAACUUCAGGAAACUGGGGCUAAUACCGGAUAGGAGCUCCUGCUACAUGGUGGGGGUUGGAAAGUUUCGGCGGUUGGGGAUGGACUCGCGGCUUAUCAGCUUGUUGGUGGGGUAGUGGCUUACCAAGGCUUUGACGGGUAGCCGGCCUGAGAGGGUGACCGGGCACAUUGGGACUGAGAUACGGCCCAGACUCCUACGGGAGGCAGCAGGGGGGAAUAUUGCACAAUGGGCGGAAGCCUGAUGCAGCAACGCCGCGUGCGGGAUGACGGCCUUCGGGUUGUAAACCGCUUUCGCCUGUGACGAAGCGUGAGUGACGGUAAUGGGUAAAGAAGCACCGGCUAACUACGUG